rnacentral:lncRNA from 1 species
GCUGCACACCAAUGCUACUCGGACGCAGCUUGGAACAGCUCGUCGUGCGAAGGAGGCUUGGGCUGGAUCUGUUUGGAGCCUAACGGAGUAAUGCGCUUUACAGGUUCAGCUCCACGCCAAUUUGUGGCAUCUGCACUUGUGGCUGAAGCUCUUGCGCUCAAAACAGCCAUAGAAGAGGCUGUGACUUCCAGAAUUCAAGACAUGAUCUGUUUCUCAUAUUCUAAGUGUCUAAUC